rnacentral:rRNA from 1 species
GACGAACGCUGGCGGCGUGCUUAACACAUGCAAGUCGAACGGAAAGGCCCUGCUUUUGUGGGGUGCUCGAGUGGCGAACGGGUGAGUAACACGUGAGUAACCUGCCCUUGACUUUGGGAUAACUUCAGGAAACUGGGGCUAAUACCGGAUAGGAGCUCCUGCUGCAUGGUGGGGGUUGGAAAGUUUCGGCGGUUGGGGAUGGACUCGCGGCUUAUCAGCUUGUUGGUGGGGUAGUGGCUUACCAAGGCUUUGACGGGUAGCCGGCCUGAGAGGGUGACCGGCCACAUUGGGACUGAGAUACGGCCCAGACUCCUACGGGAGGCAGCAGUGGGGAAUAUUGCACAAUGGGCGGAAGCCUGAUGCAGCAACGCCGUGUGCGGGAUGACGGCCUUCGGGUUGUAAACCGCUUUCGCCUGUGACGAAGCGUAAGUGACGGUAAUGGGUAAAGAAGCACCGGCUAACUACGUG